CGAAAGGUCGAAAGGAGAAAUUCAUCGCGUUUCGAUGUGGGCAACUGAUGGGAUUGUGUGACGGAAAUUUAUGUUGUUUCGGCAACAAUAUUUUCGCAUCGCCUAUUUUGUUGAGCCGUACAACGAACGUGUGCACUUUUCUCCUGGUAGGACGUCGCGAUCCGUUGGGUGUCGGUCUACAAACAAUGUGGUGGAGACCAUUCGUACAUUUUUACCGAUGUUUAUGAAUGGACCCAUAUGUUUUGGCCGACUCGCUCGACGGUAUACAAAUGGUUGUGAGCCGCUUAUUAAAAAAAGCGUUUGACUUAUGGCAAGCGCGCCAGUUGUUUUGUUGGAAAUCGGACCUAGUGCCGAUUCUGACCUCUGGUGACUGUUGGCUAUAAUGUUCUUAAACAGACUCAUAUUUGAAACCGAUCUGCGACGCUAUAGCUUUGGGUAAUUUCAGGACCCGUCUUGAAACACGGACCAAGGAGUCUAGCAUGUACCCAAGUCAUUGGGAAUUAUUAAACCUAAAGGCGUAAUGAAAGUAAAGAUUUUCCUUGCGAAAAUCGAGGGAAGACGAGUGGUUUUACACCGUUAAAAGUGGCCAUUCCGCAUUCCCGGGGCGUCUCGUUCUCAUUGCGAGAAGAGGCGCACCAAGAGCGUACACGCUGGGACCCGAAAGAUGGUGAACUAUGCCUGGUCAGGACNAANUCAGGGGAAACCCUGAUGGAGGUCCGUAGCGAUUCUGACGUGCAAAUCGAUCGUCGGAACUGGGUAUAGGGGCGAAAGACUAAUCGAACCAUC
rnacentral:rRNA from 1 species